rnacentral:tRNA from 2 species
GCGGGUAUAGUUGAAUGGCCCAACACCACCUUCCCAAGGUGGGGAUAGGGGUUCGAUUCCCCUUACCCGCU